AACAUGAGACUUGAGCUCACAACCACAAGAUCAAGAUUCACAGGCUCUACUGACUGAGCCAUUUUGACAUUUUUAAGGAAAAUUAUGAAACUUAAAUCUUCUGGAGUGUAGCAGCAACAAAAGAAGAAAUAAGUGAAAUUGUAGGAAGUGCUGAUUUUCAGAAAAUGAUCUCUUAACUGAGAGAAAUAUUAGUCCAUAAAAAUUUCCCAUAAGGCAUAUGUGGGAAACUGAUGGAAAUCCUUCCAAUCCAGGAUUCAGAUACGUUGGAGUUUUUGUGUUAUUUGGAGGCCCAUUUCCCACCUUUAUCAUAUUUAAAAUGGACAUUGGAAAGUUUGUCCUUUCUAGUGAUGGUGUUACAUUUGCAGCCUAGUCUCAGCUGGCAGAAAUUUGAGGGUCUGGAAAUUGUUCUGGAUUUGAGCAAUCAAAGACCUGGGUGUUUAGCCAGAUCUCACUGAAGGCGAGAAGAUUCAUCCAACAGUUUGACAGCCUGAUUUUUUUUUUCUCAGUCACCCUAUAUUUCACCCUUUAGGAAAUGAUGAGCUUCCUGAAUGGCAGAAGCCAAGCAGCAAUACUUUCUGCCCAGAGAAAAGACAUACACGAGGACCUGGACUAGAUAUCAGCCAGAUAGCAAUUUCCUAGCCUCUAUAUCAGUGCUUAAUUCAUACAUCCAUGUGCAAAGUAGCAUAGAAGUUCUUCAAACACCUCGACAAUAAGGACCUUCUUUUACCAAAGCUGUUCGACUACCUUCCUUGCCGAGUGCACAGGAGCCAAUAGCAGAGGCCAAACUUAGACCCUGAUUGGCACUGUUCCUUGGAGAGAUCAGACAGUCACCUGGUAUCAGAUUGAUUGUUUUGGACUUUUCCCAGCUUGAGACACUAAAUGAUUUUGUCUUCACUGGAACUUAAACUUAUUCUGUAUAAUGGAUUUGCUUUUCCCGCUCCAAUGCCUCUUCUAGCACCAACAUCAGGAGACUUUUAGAGUGACCUUUUCACUAUCAAGAGAUUGUUUCUGACCAAAGAUCGUACUACAAAGCAAAAGGACAGUGAUAGGCCGUAUAAUUAAUAAAUCUCACCAUAUACUUAUUGACUCAAAAUCAGCUGCUUUGACAGAAACAUAGAAUUUCUUCCUGAAGUAUUAGAUGCAUACAAGCUAAGAGACAAUAAUCUGAAAUUCGGGGUGUUUUCCUAUACCAUGCAGUAUUGGAUUUUGCUAGGCAUUGUAUGAUACUGUUUUACCCUUAAUCCAUUAAUUAAAAAGAGAAAUGAACCAUGCACUAUUUUUCCCUCAGGCACAGAACUUUGGGAUUUUUUGGUUGAGAAUUCUCAUUUCCAUAAUGAAUACUAUUUUAACCAGAAGACAUAAUUCUUUCAUUGAAAUGGAAGUUACACUUGCUACCUGGUCACUGUGGGGUCCUUAUUCCAUUGAAACAACAGACAGAUAAUGGGUUACUAUGAUUUGUGCAGUGAUAGAUUCUAAUUACCAAGGAGAAAUUGGGUUGCCACUCUAUAGUGGAAGAAGGCAGAAUUAUAUCUGGAACAAUGAAGUCAAUGAAGACUUGGCUCAUCCUUACUAGGUAAACACCAUACUAGCUGAGACCCUGGCUGGGGCCAAAGUAAACAUGGAAUGAGUAGCAGAUAUAAGAAGUCACUCAUGAGUGAGUUCUGGAACAUAGUAUAUGUGUGUGUAUACUUUUAACUAAUUUUUAUCUUUUUUUUAAUAUAAGGAGUAAUAAGA